rnacentral:tRNA from 1 species
GGGGCUGUAGCUCAGUGGUAGAGCGCUUGCCUAGCAUGUGUGAGGCAUUGGGUUCAAUCCUCAGCACCA